AUACGGAGGGUGCAAGCGUUAAUCGGAAUUACUGGGCGUAAAGGGUUCGUAGGCGGUUAUUUAAGUCAGAUGGGAAAGCCCCGGGCUCAACCUGGGAAUUGCAUCUGAUACUGGGUAACUAGAGUUUAAGAGAGGAGUGUGGAAUUUCCGGUGUAGCGGUGAAAUGCAUAGAGAUCGGAAGGAACAUCAGUGGCGAAGGCGGCACUCUGGCUUAAAACUGACGCUGAGGAACGAAAGCGUGGGUAGCAAACAGGAUUAGAAACCCUAGUAGUCC
rnacentral:rRNA from 1 species